rnacentral:rRNA from 1 species
GAUGAACGCUGGCGGCGUGCCUAAUACAUGCAAGUCGAGCGAACAGACGAGGAGCUUGCUCCUUCGACGUUAGCGGCGGACGGGUGAGUAACACGUAGGUAACCUACCUAUAAGACUGGGAUAACUUCGGGAAACCGGAGCUAAUACCGGAUAAUAUUUCGAACCGCAUGGUUCGAUAGUGAAAGAUGGCUUUGCUAUCACUUAUAGAUGGGCCUGCGCCGUAUUAGCUAGUUGGUAAGGUAACGGCUUACCAAGGCAACGAUACGUAGCCGACCUGAGAGGGUGAUCGGCCACACUGGAACUGAGACACGGUCCAGACUCCUACGGGAGGCAGCAGUAGGGAAUCUUCCGCAAUGGGCGAAAGCCUGACGGAGCAACGCCGCGUGAGUGAUGAAGGUCUUCGGAUCGUAAAACUCUGUUAUUAGGGAAGAACAAACGUGUAAGUAACUGUGCACGUCUUGACGGUACCUAAUCAGAAAGCCACGGCUAACUACGUG